rnacentral:rRNA from 1 species
AUUGAACGCUGGCGGCAUGCCUUACACAUGCAAGUCGAACGGUAACAGGUUAAGCUGCCGAGUGGCGAACGGGUGAGUAAUGUAUCGGAACGUGCCCAGUCGUGGGGGAUAACUGCUCGAAAGAGCAGCUAAUACCGCAUACGACCUGAGGGUGAAAGCGGGGGAUCGCAAGACCUCGCGCGAUUGGAGCGGCCGAUAUCAGAUUAGGUAGUUGGUGAGGUAAAGGCUCACCAAGCCGACGAUCUGUAGCUGGUCUGAGAGGACGACCAGCCACACUGGGACUGAGACACGGCCCAGACUCCUACGGGAGGCAGCAGUGGGGAAUUUUGGACAAUGGGCGCAAUCCUGAUCCAGCCAUGCCGCGUGCGGGAAGAAGGCCUUCGGGUUGUAAACCGCUUUUGUCAGGGAAGAAAAGGUUCUGGCUAAUACCUGGGACUCAUGACGGUACCUGAAGAAUAAGCACCGGCUAACUACGUG